rnacentral:lncRNA from 1 species
UGCAGCUUGACAGUUCCCCUUCGCUGGCGGCUCACAGGCAGCUGGAAUCGCUGUGCCUUUGUUCCUUGCGCCGCCGAAGUCGGCUGUUUAGAAGCCUUGUGUCACCCUGCUCUGAAAGAAAAAAAUGUCAAAGAGGUCAUGGGACAUUGUUCAAUAAUAAAGCACAUGUCUGCACAAGGUCUUGGAUUUGGCCUCCAGCAUACCUGCCACCAGUGAGUGAGGAAAAAGGACUUGAAUAAAUUUUCUCCAGAGAAAAUGAAAAUACAGCUUGGUGGUGGCACAUGCCUUUAAUGCCAGCACUCAGGAGGCAGAAGCAGGAUGAUUUGUGUGAAUUUUAGGCCAGUCCGAUCUACAGAGUGAGUUCUUG